rnacentral:rRNA from 1 species
UACGAAGGGGGCGAGCGUUUGUUCGGAUUUACUGGGCGUAAAGGGCGCGCAGGCGGCGCAUUUUGUCAGGCGUGAAAGCCCCGGGCUUAACCUGGGAACUGCGUUUGAUACUGGCGAUCUUGAGUCCGGGAGAGGUGAGUGGAACUCCGAGUGUAGAGGUGAAAUUCGUAGAUAUUCGGAAGAACACCAGUGGCGAAGGCGGCUCACUGGCCCGGUACUGACGCUGAGGUGCGAAAGCGUGGGGAGCAAACAGG